GACGAACGCUGGCGGCGUGCCUAAUACAUGCAAGUCGAGCGGACUUUCAAGAAGUUUGCUUUUUGAAAGUUAGCGGCGGACGGGUGAGUAACACGUGGGCAACCUGCCUGCAAGACGGGGAUAACUCCGGGACACCGGGGCUAAUACCGGAUAAUAUCUUCCUUCGCAUGAAGGAAGGUUGAAAGGCGGCGCAAGCUGCCGCUUGCAGAUGGGCCCGCGGCGCAUUUGCUAGUUGGUGAGGUAACGGCUCACCAAGGCGACGAUGCGUAGCCGACCUGAGAGGGUGAGCGGCCACACUGGGACUGAGACACGGCCCAGACGCCUACGGGAGGCAGCAGUAGGGAAUCUUCCGCAAUGGACGAAAGUCUGACGGAGCAACGCCGCGUGAGCGAAGAAGGUCUUCGGAUCGGAAAGCUCUGUUGUCAGGGAAGAACAAGUACCGUUCGAACAGGGCGGUACCUUGACGGUACCUGAACAGAAAGCCACGGCUAACUACGUG
rnacentral:rRNA from 1 species